GCGCCGAAUCCCGCGCUCUUUGGGCGUCGGGAAAUGUGGGGUUUGGGAGUGAGCGUACCGGAGGUCGGCUCUGCAGCAAGUCCCCCUGACCGGGGCUCUUUCCCAGAGUGGGUGCGAGGCCCAUAGCUGCUAGGCCUCUUCCGGAUGCGAUCUCCUUGGAGUCGGGUUGCUUGGGAGUGCAGCCCUAAUCGGGUGGUAAACUCCACCUAAGACUAAAUACUGCCGUGAGACCGAUAGCAAACAAGUACCGUGAGGGAAAGUUGCAAAGAACUUUGAAGAGAGAGUUCAAGAGUACGUGAAACUGCUCAGAGGAAAACGGGUGGGCCCUCGAAAUCCUGUGGCGGGAGGAUUCAGUCGAGAGGUCCGGAGGCCAUGCCGAGGCGUUAUCAGAAUGGAACCCGCGACCGGGCCUCCUUGGCAAGGCUCUUUCGGAUCGACCGACGCAUUUCUUUCCCGCUCGAAGGACGCCGCAACGGGUUGGCGGGACGGCCUUAAGGACGGGAGCCGGCAGGUGGCCGGUGGUUCUCCUCGUGGGGACCGCCGGUUGUUAGCCAUUCCGUCGCACGGCCGCACCCCGACCCUGGUGUCGCGAGGCCCCUAUGGGCCUUCACGCCUCCUCCGUAGGUAGCGAGCAGACGUGGCAGGUGAGGCUCGACCUUCGCGGACGCAUGGACUCGCUCCAUGGCCCUGCGGUGCCGAGUCCCCGUUGGCUGCGCGUGGCUCGUCGGAGAC
rnacentral:rRNA from 1 species